UACGAAGGGGGCUAGCGUUGCUCGGAAUCACUGGGCGUAAAGGGUGCGUAGGCGGGUCUUUAAGUCAGGGGUGAAAUCCUGGAGCUCAACUCCAGAACUGCCUUUGAUACUGAGGAUCUUGAGUUCGGGAAAGGUGAGUGGAACUGCGAGUGUAGAGGUGAAAUUCGUAGAUAUUCGCAAGAACACCAGUGGCGAAGGCGGCUCACUGGCCCGAUACUGACGCUGAGGCACGAAAGCGUGGGGAGCAAACAGG
rnacentral:rRNA from 1 species